rnacentral:rRNA from 1 species
AUAUCAAUAAGCGGAGGAAAAGAAACCAACAGGGAUUGCCCUAGUAACGGCGAGUGAAGCGGCAACAGCUCAAAUUUGAAAUCUGGCUUCGGCCCGAGUUGUAAUUUGCAGAGGAAGCUUUAGGCGCGGCACCAACUGAGUCCCCUGGAACGGGGCGCCACAGAGGGUGAGAGCCCCGUAUAGUUGGACGCCUAGCCUGUGUAAAGCUCCUUCGACGAGUCGAGUAGUUUGGGAAUGCUGCUCAAAAUGGGAGGUAAAUUUCUUCUAAAGCUAAAUAUUGGCCAGAGACCGAUAGCGCACAAGUAGAGUGAUCGAAAGAUGAAAAGCACUUUGAAAAGAGGGUUAAAUAGCACGUGAAAUUGUUGAAAGGGAAGCGCUUGUGACCAGACUUGCGCCGGGCAGAUCAUCCGGUGUUCUCACCGGUGCACUCUGCCCGGCUCAGGCCAGCAUCGGUUCUCGUGGGGGGAUAAAGGUCCCGGGAACGUAGCUCCUCCGGGAGUGUUAUAGCCCGGGGCGUAAUGCCCUCGUGGGGACCGAGGUUCGCGCAUCUGCAAGGAUGCUGGCGUAAUGGUCAUCAGCGA